rnacentral:rRNA from 1 species
AUGUUGUGGAGGGAGAGCUUCAUGGAGCGAGCGGAGGAUGCACUGGGUGGGCUCUCCCUGACGCCGCCUAUGUUGCAGACUACUCAUGUGUUGCGCCCUUUGGUUGUGCCCGAUGGCAGCUUCGAGGUUGAGAGGGGAGACGAGCUUCGGGAGUUGUGUGGGGGCCCGGUUCUGCCUUUGUGCGUCGAGCAACUGCAGGUAGACCCUCCCGAGAUCUCGAGUGUGGCUUUACCUUGUUGGAAAACGUUGCAUGGAAAACAAAAAAAAUUCCACGCAAGAUCUAUCCAUGGAGAUGCAUAG